AGGAGGCAUCUUCUUUCUGUGAAACAUCCUUUAGGGGAUGGGGCGCGGAUGGACCUGCGGUGCAUUAGUUAGUUGGCGGGGUAAAGGCCCACCAAGACGAUGAUGCAUAGCCGGCCUGAGAGGGCGGACGGCCACAUUGGGACUGAGACACGGCCCAGACUCCUGCGGGAGGCAGCAGUAGGGAAUUUUCGUCAAUGGGCGCAAGCCUGAACGAGCGAUGCCGCGUGAGUGAAGAAGGCCUUCGGGUCGUAAAGCUCUGUUGCGGGGGAAAAAAGGCAGCAUCAGGAAAUGGGUGCUGACUGAUGGUGCCCCGCCAGAAAGUCACGGCUAACUACGUGCCAGCAGCCGCGGUAAUACGUAGGUGGCGAGCGUUAUCCGGAAUGAUUGGGCGUAAAGGGUGCGCAGGCGGUCCUGCAAGUCUGGAGUGAAACGCAUGAGCUCAACUCAUGCAUGGCUUUGGAAACUGGAGGACUGGAGAGCAGGAGAGGGCGGUGGAACUCCAUGUGUAGCGGUAAAAUGCGUAGAUAUAUGGAAGAACACCAGUGGCGAAGGCGGCCGCCUGGCCUGUUGCUGACGCUGAGGCACGAAAGCGUGGGGAGCAAAUAGGAUUAGAUACCCUAGUAGUCCACGCCGUAAACGAUGAGGACCAAGUGUUGGGG
rnacentral:rRNA from 1 species